AUUCAAUGCGGAUAGAUAAGGUUUUUUGAUCUACUAUGACAUAAAUGGUUGCACUGAGAGCUUCUGUGUGUGUGUGUGUGGAUUUUGCAAAUUGACAUGUUUGGAAGAUCUGGGUUUUUGUUUUUGAUUUCUUGUUUGCUUAGUUUAGCUAGCAUGAAAUUUUUUUGGUUGCAUGUGCUGUGGUUAAGAGGACGUUACUGUUUAGUUCAUUUCAUUUAAAUAUCAUGUUACCGGACAUUUAGAUGUUUAAAUAUAUGAAUUAAUUGAAA
rnacentral:misc_RNA from 1 species